rnacentral:tRNA from 1 species
GGAUAGCUCAGCUGGUUAGAGCAUGAUGCCGAUAAUACCAAGGUCGCAGGUUCAAUCCCCAUAUGAGACA